rnacentral:rRNA from 1 species
UAAAAAGCUCGUAGUUGGAUUUCGGCGAUCAGGGGCCGGUGAUAUAUUUGUAUCUACUGGCCCAUUUGGUCGUAUUUUUGAAAGGGGGUUCGGGGUCCCCUUCACUGGGUGUCCUAGGUCGCUUUCAGGUUUACUUUGAAAAAAUUAGAGUGCUCAAAGCAGGCUUUAACGCUUGAAUAUUCGUGCAUGGAAUAAUAGAAUAGGAAGUUCGUUUCUAUUUUGUUGGUUUUAGGAUAACGACUUAAUGAUUAAUAGGGACAAUCGGGGGAAUUAGUAUUCAAACGACAGAGGUGAAAUUCUUGGACCGUUUGAAGACUAACUACUGCGAAAGCAUUUUCCAAGAGUGUUUUCAUUAAUCAAGAACGAAAGUAGAGGUUCGAAGGCGAUCAGAUACCGCCCUAGUUCUAACCAUAAACGAUGCCAGCUAGCGAUCUCAGGGUGCGUAAUACUAAGGCCCCUGAGGGAGCUUCCGGGAAACCAAAGCUUGUGGGUUCCGGGGGAAGUAUGGUUGCAAAGCUGAAACUUAAAGGAAUUGACGGAAGGGCACCACCAGGAGUGGAGCCUGCGGCUUAAUUUGACUCCACACGGGAAAUCUCACCA